GAUGAAGAACGUAGCGAAAUGCGAUAAGUAAUGUGAAUUGCAGAAUUCAGUGAAUCAUCGAAUCUUUGAACGCACAUUGCGCCCGCCAGUAUUCUGGCGGGCAUGCCUGUUCGAGCGUCAUUUCAACCCUCAAGCCCAGCUUGGUGUUGGGGAUCGGCACAGGCGCCCUCGGGCGCCAGCCGUCCCCUAAAUCUAGUGGCGGUCCCGCUGCAGCCUCCUCUGCGUAGUAGUUUUCUCCUCGCAAGGGCAGCUCGGUGGCGACCUCGCCGUAAAACCCCCAACUUCUGAAAGGUUGACCUCGAAUCAGGUAGGAAUACCCGCUGAACUUAAGCAUAUCAAUAACGGAGGA
rnacentral:misc_RNA from 1 species